UUUAAUCGGUUUCUCAAAAACACAAGCUUUAAGGUGAAAAUCACGNCGUGAUUUUCACCUUAAAGCUUGUGUUUUUGAGAAACCGAUUAA
rnacentral:pre_miRNA from 1 species